rnacentral:rRNA from 1 species
AGAGAGAGACAUGCGCGCAUAUCAAUAAGCGGAGGAAAAGAAACUAACAAGGAUUCCCUUAGUAACGGCGAGUGAAGCGGGAAGAGCUCAAAUUUGAAAUCUUCAAGGUUCUACCUUGACGAAUUGUAGUUUAAAGAAGUGUUUUCUGCUGAAGUUUUGGUAAAAGUUCUUUGGAAUAGGACAUCAUAGAGGGUGAGAAUCCCGUAUUUGACCAUUAUUUUCAGCUUUGUGAUACACUUUCAAAGAGUCGGAUUGUUUGGGAAUGCAGUCCAAAAUGGGUGGUAAAUUUCAUCUAAAGCUAAAUAUUGGCGAGAGACCGAUAGCGAACAAGUACCGUGAGGGAAAGAUGAAAAGAACUUUGAAAAGAGAGUUAAACAGUACGUGAAAUUGUCAAAAGGGAAGCGUUUGACACCAGUGUUGUUUUCUCGAAAAUCAAUUAAAAAUGGCCUCGAUUUUGUAUUGUUGAGACCUUAAAAGCUCACUGUACAUUUUUCGUGUCUUUUUUAAUGCACUUUUCGUUUAACAAGUCAACAUCAGUUUCUUUUGUUGUAAAAGGGUCAUUGGAAGGUGGCUUUCUUUUCGGAGAAAGUGUUUAUAGCCUUUGGCCUCUGCAAUCGAAGAGACUGAGGUCUGCAGCGUAGACUCUUCGGGGUUAGAUACAUUUGUGCUAAGUUAUAGCUUUUUAUAGACAACUUGUUGACUAUAAUUAGUCUUGUAGCUUACUCGCUUAUGCUAUUUUACCUACGCUUAGGAUGUUGAAGUCAUCGUAUCGCGC